rnacentral:rRNA from 1 species
AUGUCGUGCUGCAACCGGCCAUGGAGGAGCUGUAAACGCCAGUGUGGCGUGCUGCAACCUGCGUUGAGAAUUUCUACCAUGAGCAUGCGGCGCACGAGCAUGGAUCGAGGAUGCUGGAACCAGCCAUUUUUUUGCUGGAACCGACAUUUCUUCCUCAGCUGCAAUGGGCUCGAGAAGCAAUAUGCUACAACCAGUGAUUCAGUUUGCUGUAACCCAAUGCUUUUUUUGCUAGAACCAAAUUUCUUCAGGAGUUGCAGUGACGAGGAGCGUUUUGACUUUUUUUUGCAUUUUUCUUUUUUGCUGGAACCAGCUCUUGAAUUUGCUGGAACCAACUUUUGGUUUUGCUGGAACCGCCUGAAGUAG